rnacentral:rRNA from 1 species
AAAUGAAUUGACGGGGGCCCGCACAAGCAGCGGAGCGUGUGGUUUAAUUCGAUGCAACGCGAAGAACCUUACCAGGGUUUGACAUGCUUAAAGUAGAAACUCGAAAGAGGGACGACCUGUAUCCAGUCAGGAAUUUGCACAGGUGCUGCAUGGCUGUCGUCAGCUCGUGCCGUGAGGUGUUAGGUUAAGUCCUGCAACGAGCGCAACCCUCGUCGCUAGUUACUUUUCUCUAGCGAUACUGCCCGUAUAACGUGGAGGAAGGUGGGGAUGACGUCAAGUCAGCACGGCCCUUACAUCCUGGGCUGCACACACGCUACAAUGGGUGAUACAACAGGUUGCAAUAGAGCGAUCUGGAGCCAAUCCCUAAAAUCAUCCUCAGUACGGAUUGCAGGCUGCAACUGCCUGCAUGAAGUUGGAGUUGCUAGUAAACGCAGGUCAGCACACUGCGUUGAAUACGUUCUCGGGCCUUGUACACACCGCCCGU